rnacentral:rRNA from 1 species
UAACCAUGCAAGUCGAGCGGCAGCGGGAAAGUAGCUUGCUACUUUUGCCGGCGAGCGGCGGACGGGUGAGUAAUGCCUGGGAAAUUGCCCAGUCGAGGGGGAUAACAGUUGGAAACGACUGCUAAUACCGCAUACGCCCUCGGGGGAAAGGAAGGGGCCUUUGGGGCUUCCCCGGAAGGGAAAUACCCCCGGGGGGAGUUAAAUUAUUUGGGGGGGUUAAGGCUCCCCCAGGGGCCGUUUCUAAGCUGUUUUGAGAGGGAGAUCAGCCCCCCGGAAAUGAGCCCCGUCCCAAUUUCCUCGGGGAGCACCAGUGGGGAUUUUUCCCCAUGGGGGAAACCUUGAUGCAGCCAUCCCCCGUGGUGAAGAAGGCUUUCGGGUUGUAAAGCACUUUCAGCGAGGAGGAAAGGUUGUCUGUUUAUAUCCAACAGCUGUGACGUGAUUCGCAGAAGAAGCACCGGGUAACUCCGUGCCAGCACCCGCGGUAAUACGGAGGGUGCAAGCGUUAUUCGGAAUUUCUGGGCGUAAAGCGCACGCAGGCGGUUGGAUAAGUUAGAUGUGAAAGCCCCGGGCUCAACCUGGGAAUUGCAUUUAAAACUGUCCAGCUAGAGUCUCGUAGAGGGGGGUAGAAUUCCAGGUGUAGCGGUGAAAUGCGUAGAGAUCUGGAGGAAUACCGGUGGCGAAGGCGGCCCCCUGGACAAAGACUGACGCUCAGGUGCGAAAGCGUGGGGAGCAAACAGGAUUAGAUACCCUGGUAGUCCACGCCGUAAACGAUGUCGAUUUGGAGGCUGUGUCCUUGAGACGUGUCUUCCGGAGAUAACGCGCUAAAUCGACCGCCUGGGGAGUGCGCCCGCAAGGUUAAAACUCAAAUGAAUUGACGGGGGCCCGCACAAGCGGUGGAGCAUGUGGUUUAAUUUGAUGCAACGCGAAGAACCCUUCCUGGCCUUGACAUGUCUGGAAUCCUGUAGAGAUACGGGAGUGCCUUCGGGAAUCAGAACACAGGUGCUGCAUGGCUGUCGUCAGAUCGUGUCUUGAGAUGUUGGGUUAAGUCUCGCAACGAGCGCACCCCCUGUCUUUUGUUGCCAGCACGUAAUGGUGGGAACUCAAGGGAGACUGCCGGUGAUAAACCGGAGGAAGGUGGGGAUGACGUCAAGUCAUCAUGGCCCUUACGGCCAGGGCUACACACGUGCUACAAUGGCGCGUACAAAGGG